AUUGAACGCUGGCGGCAGGCCUAACACAUGCAAGUCGAACGGUAGCACAGAGAGCUUGCUCUCGGGUGACGAGUGGCGGACGGGUGAGUAACGUCUGGGAAACUGCCCGAUGGAGGGGGAUAACUACUGGAAACGGUAGCUAAUACUGCAUAACGUCGCAAGACCAAAGUGGGGGACCUUCGGGCCUCACACCAUCGGAUGUGCGCAGAUGGGAUUAGCUAGUAGGUGGGGCAAUGGCUCACCUAGGCGGCGAUCCCUAGCCGUCCAGAGAGGAUUGCCAGCCCCGCUGGAACUGGGACACGAUCCAGACACCUACGGGAGACAGCAGUGGGGAAUAUUGCACAAUGGGCGCCAGCCUGAUGCAGCCAUGCCGCGUGUAUGAAGAAGGCCUUCAGGUUGUAAAGUACUUUCAGCGGGGAGGAAGGCGGUGAAGUUAAUAACUUCACCGAUUGACGUUACCCGCAGAAGAAGCACCGGCUAACUCCGUGCCAGCCGCCGCUGUAA
rnacentral:rRNA from 1 species